UACGUAGGGCGCAAGCGUUGUCCGGAUUUAUUGGGCGUAAAGAGCUCGUAGGCGGUUCGUCGCGUCUGGUGUGAAAGUCCAUGGCUUAACCGUGGAUUGGCGCCGGGUACGGGCGGGCUGGAGUGCAGUAGGGGAGACUGGAAUUCUCGGUGUAACGGUGGAAUGUGUAGAUAUCGGGAAGAACACCAAUGGCGAAGGCAGGUCUCUGGGCUGUUACUGACGCUGAGGAGCGAAAGCGUGGGGAGCGAACAGG
rnacentral:rRNA from 1 species